rnacentral:rRNA from 1 species
UACCAGCACCCCGAGUGGUCGGGACGUUUAUUGGGCGUAAAGAGCUCGUAGGCGGCUCAGUAAGUCAGGUGUGAAACCUCCAGGCUCAACCUGGAGACGCCACCUGAUACUGCUGUGGCUAGAGUCCGGUAGGGGAGCGUGGAAUUCCUGGUGUAGCGGUGAAAUGCGCAGAUAUCAGGAGGAACACCAGCGGCGAAGGCGGCGCUCUGGGCCGGAACUGACGCUGAGGAGCGAAAGCGUGGGUAGCAAACAGG